AGUGGAAGCGUCUGGAAAGGCGCGCGAUACAGGGUGACAGCCCCGUACACAAAAGCGCAUGUGCUGUGAGCUCGAUGAGUAGGGCGGGACACGUGGUAUCCUGUCUGAAUAUGGGGGGACCAUCCUCCAAGGCUAAAUACUCCUGACUGACCGAUAGUGAACCAGUACCGUGAGGGAAAGGCGAAAAGAACCCCGGCGAGGGGAGUGAAAAAGAACCUGAAACCGUGUACGUACAAGCAGUGGGAGCACAGGUUUACCUGUGUGACUGCGUACCUUUUGUAUAAUGGGUCAGCGACUUAUAUUCUGUAGCAAGGUUAACCGUAUAGGGGAGCCGUAGGGAAACCGAGUCUUAACCGGGCGUUAAGUUGCAGGGUAUAGACCCGAAACCCGGUGAUCUAGCCAUGGGCAGGUUGAAGGUUGGGUAACACUAACUGGAGGACCGAACCGACUAAUGUUGAAAAAUUAGCGGAUGACCUGUGGCUGGGGGUGAAAGGCCAAUCAAACCGGGAGAUAGCUGGUUCUCCCCGAAAGCUAUUUAGGUAGCGCCUCGUGAAUUCAUCUCCGGGGGUAGAGCACUGUUUCGGCUAGGGGGCCAUCCCGGCUUACCAACCCGAUGCAAACUGCGAAUACCGGAGAAUGUUAUCACGGGAGACACACGGCGGGUGCUAACGUCCGUCGUGAAGAGGGAAACAACCCAGACCGCCAGCUAAGGUCCCAAAGUCAUGGUUAAGUGGGAAACGAUGUGGGAAGGCCCAGACAGCCAGGAUGUUGGCUUAGAAGCAGCCAUCAUUUAAAGAAAGCGUAAUAGCUCACUGGUCGAGUCGGCCUGCGCGGAAGAUGUAACGGGGCUAAACCAUGCACCGAAGCUGCGGCAGCGAACGUAUCACCCAAGACAACUUUACGGAGUUGACGAUUGACGGAGCGAAGCGACGUCAAAGCGUUCAUUAAAGUCGAGUUGGCUUAGGGAUACGUUCGUUGGGUAGGGGAGCGUUCUGUAAGCCUGUGAAGGUGUGUCGUGAGGCAUGCUGGAGGUAUCAGAAGUGCGAAUGCUGACAUAAGUAACGAUAAAGCGGGUGAAAAGCCCGCUCGCCGGAAGACCAAGGGUUCCUGUCCAACGUUAAUCGGGGCAGGGUGAGUCGACCCCUAAGGCGAGGCCGAAAGGCGUAGUCGAUGGGAAACGGGUUAAUAUUCCCGUACUUGGUGUUACUGCGAAGGGGGGACGGAGAAGGCUAUGUUGGCCGGGCGACGGUUGUCCCGGUUUAAGCGUGUAGGUGUGUGUUCCAGGUAAAUCCGGUUCACUUUAACACUGAGGCGUGAUGACGAGGCACUACGGUGCUGAAGCAACAAAUGCCCUGCUUCCAGGAAAAGCCUCUAAGCAUCAGGUAACAUCAAAUCGUACCCCAAACCGACACAGGUGGUCAGGUAGAGAAUACCAAGGCGCUUGAGAGAACUCGGGUGAAGGAACUAGGCAAAAUGGUGCCGUAACUUCGGGAGAAGGCACGCUGACACGUAGGUGAAGUGAUUUACUCA
rnacentral:rRNA from 1 species